GCGUACUUAGCUCAAUGGUUAGAGCAUCACUCAUGAAUGCUGGGUUCGAGUCCCACAGUACACA
rnacentral:tRNA from 1 species